rnacentral:rRNA from 1 species
GCACUUCGGGAUAAGCCUGGGAAACUGGGUCUAAUACCGGAUAGGACGACGGUCAGCAUGGAUUGUGGUGGAAAGCUUUUGCGGUGUGGGAUGGGCCCGCGGCCUAUCAGCUUGUUGGUGGGGUGAUGGCCUACCAAGGCGACGACGGGUAGCCGGCCUGAGAGGGUGUCCGGCCACACUGGGACUGAGAUACGGCCCAGACUCCUACGGGAGGCAGCAGUGGGGAAUAUUGCACAAUGGGCGCAAGCCUGAUGCAGCGACGCCGCGUGAGGGAUGACGGCCUUCGGGUUGUAAACCUCUUUCAGUGCCGACGAAGCGUAAGUGACGGUAGGCAUAGAAGAAGCACCGGCCAACUACGUGCCAGCAGCCGCGGUAAUACGUAGGGUGCGAGCGUUGUCCGGAAUUACUGGGCGUAAAGAGCUCGUAGGUGGUUUGUCGCGUUGUUCGUGAAAACUCACAGCUCAACUGUGGGCGUGCGGGCGAUACGGGCAGACUGGAGUACUGCAGGGGAGACUGGAAUUCCUGGUGUAGCGGUGGAAUGCGCAGAUAUCAGGAGGAACACCGGUGGCGAAGGCGGGUCUCUGGGCAGUAACUGACGCUGAGGAGCGAAAGCGUGGGGAGCGAACAGGAUUAGAUACCCUGGUAGUCCACGCCGUAAACGGUGGGUACUAGGUGUGGGUUUCCUU